UCUGGGCACGGUGGCAUGUGCCUGUAGUCCCAGCUACCCGGGAGGCUGAGGUGGGAGGAUCACUUGAGCCCAGGAGUUCUGGACUAUAAUGCGUUAUACCGAUCGGGUGUCUGCACUAAGUUUGGCAUCACUAUGGAGACCUCCCGGGAGUAGGGGAACCACCAGGUUGCCUAGGAAACCAGGUUGGAAACAGAGCAGGUCAAAACUCCCGUGCUGAUCAGUAGUGGGAUUGCACUUGUGAAUAGCCACUGCACUCCAGCCUGAGCAACACAGCGAGACCCCGUCUCU
rnacentral:SRP_RNA from 1 species